rnacentral:rRNA from 1 species
ACUCCUACGGGAGGCAGCAGUGGGGAAUUUUGGACAAUGGGGGCAACCCUGAUCCAGCCAUUCCGCGUGAGUGAAGAAGGCCUUCGGGUUGUAAAGCUCUUUCAGCAGGAACGAAACGGUGGCUAUUAAUACUGGCUACUAAUGACGGUACCUGAAGAAGAAGCACCGGCUAACUACGUGCCAGCAGCCGCGGUAAUACGUAGGGUGCGGGCGUUAAUCGGAAUUACUGGGCGUAAAGCGUGCGCAGGCGGUUCUAUAAGACAGAUGUGAAAUCCCCGGGCUUAACCUGGGAACUGCGUUUGUGACUGUAGGACUCGAGUGUGGCAGAGGGGGGUGGAAUUCCACGUGUAGCAGUGAAAUGCGUAGAGAUGUGGAGGGACACCGAUGGCGAAGGCAGCCCCCUGGGUCAACACUGACGCUCAUGCACGAAAGCGUGGGGAGCAAACAGGAUUAGAUACCCUGGUAGUCCACGCCCUAAACGAUGCGAACUAGGUGUUGGGGAAGGAGACUUUCUUAGUACCGCAGCUAACGCGUGAAGUUCGCCGCCUGGGGAGUACGGUCGCAAGAUUAAAACUCAAAUGAAUUGACGG